UGUUGGUACAUCAGUGUUUAUUCCAUGCAGCAGUUUGCUUAGAUUUUAUUUUUCCUGGUGCCCAUUGCACACUAUGGUACACUGGAUAAUACAGGAAAAUGAGAGGAUUGGUUGAUCAUAAUGCCAUUCAAGAGAAGACAAAGAAACAAACCCUGGGUAUGUAUGGCUGAGGAGGUGGUUUACCGUGAAAGACACAGAAACUCAAAUGUCACUGGUACCUUGGGAUAGUGAGAGACAGGGAGUUGGAUCCAGAGGAGAAUGGUCUGAUAUUAAUCUGUUCUGAGACCAAGUCUCUCUAAACCUUCUCUGCCAUGGAACUGUCAUUCAAUCCAAAGCUGCAUUCCUGCAUACUCUCAGGUAAUAACACUGCUCAGACAUAUUCAGUGGCAGCUUGAUUUCAAGCUUGGAAAAUCCAAUGAUAUGUGCCAUGAACAGGGAGGGUUAUAUUGUGGGCCCUAGGAGGAAUAGCGGAAAAAGAAAAUUCUGACAAACUAUGGUGGCGAAAUGGGUCGGCAGCACCCUUGCUGUUCAGAGUGGGUUUGAGACCCUGGUUCUAGCUGUGGAUGGACAGCAGAGGAAGGCCAGCUACUAUUUCCACUGACUGCUCCUCCUGAGACUGCCCAGAGGAAGUACAACAUGGCUAUAUAGUUUGCCCAGAGGAAGUACAACAUGGCUAUAUAAAACCUACAUCACCUUUUCUACUCCUCAAGUUUGUUAUGCCCCACCCUCUUUACAACACUCCUUUGAAUGUAAUUCUUGAGGUAUUUUUUGUAUGGCCUCUUCAAGCCCCCCACAACAUUUCCAGAGUAUUAUAAUCUGGAUUUAGAUUCUGCCAUUCUAUAAUGAUUCUACUUUCAGCCAUUUGAUGGGAUGAUAAAGACUGAUGCAUUAACUUUGCAUAAGGAACAUGCGGUUCAGUUUAUUUAAAUUACACAUAUACACACAUAUAUAUAUAUACAUAUACAUAUAUACACAUAUACAUAUAUGUGUGUAUGAUUGCUAGCAGUAGUAUAUUAGUGUAAUUUUGUCAGUGUUUUUUAUUCAGUCAGGAUACCUUUAUCCCUCAUUAGUGCGGAAAAAAGACACCACGUGUCAAAAUGAGGAACAAUACAAGAUUUUAGGUGGUAUCCUCACAGCACUGUAUAUUAAGUUGAUUCAGAAGCACCCUUGAUAAAGAAGAGCAAAAAAGACAGAAUGAAAGAAAUAUAUACAAAGUCUGAGCUUUUUCCUAAUGUUUAUCAAAAGUGCAAUCAUGUUGAAUCUGUUUGAAUGCUUGAAUACUUUCCAGCAGAUUCCUAUAGCUUCCCAGAGCAGAAAGAGAAUACAAUAGUUAGAUUGUUCAACCAUACACACCCAAGACUGAUCAACAAAUUUUACAAAACCCAAAGAAUUAUGACAAUAAUACCUCUGAUCACCAUUCCUUACAAGGAAUUCCUUCACUCAUUAUACAGUUGUGCUUUCUUUAUGUCAAAUAAUACUUAUUUUAAAGAGAAAUCAUAAAGACAAGAGAAACAACCAUUCUAAAGCUGCCUGAAAUUAAAAAGAACUUAACUUUCCAGGACAGGACAUUGACAAUAAAUUAAUUCAAUAAUCAUGUAGGCCAGCUACAAAAAAAGCAAGAAAAAUAAUCAUAGUUGACAGGAUUUGUUGCCAGUAAGACAUUGUUAUUCACUCGUAUCAUAAGAGUGUCAUCUGAUUCCCAUAAAUGACACGUUUUUCUGCGUAAACACACUAAAGGAGGACUGGCUGGAACAGACAACAGGAGUCAGGGCCAGGCUGAAUCCCAAAUUGCACCCCAUAGGGCCCUGGUCAAAAGUAGUGGACUAUAAAGGAAACUGGGUGCCAUUUGGGACUCAAGGGUUAUUGGUAUUCUAUACUGAUUGGACUGUGGACUACAGACCGUGGUCAACCAACACAAGAGAUAUCCUGAAUUACAUCAUUAUUAAAUCACCCACAGCUUCGAGGUUCACACACUGGUCAUGUGACAGGGGUCAGAACAUACUACAGGUUAGAGGUCAUACAACAUGAAUACUUAGACAGACUGGCUGGUAACACUAAAAAGAGGUCUGUUAGAACAGGAGCAUCAGUCUACUUGUGGUCUUUAUGUCUCUGGUUGUAUUCCUUAACCUUCUGACCUUCAUUAAUUUAACUGAAGACAGAGUUUCAUACAAACGUUUGACCUCAUCUGUUAACCUUCAAUCCCCACUGGCCAUAAUCUGAAGUAAAACAAACGCUUUACACAAACAUGGAAACACAGACCAGGGAAAAAGGAUCCUAGGGUAUAUAGUUACAUGAGAUGCAGUAUCCCUUUUUAAAGAAGAUUACACAAAGGUGUAAACAAGACUGUGAUGAGAUGAUUAACUAAGAAGAAAACAAUCCUUAUCCUAUCAGACCAAAAGAAGUGUCACAAAUGGCGACCUAUUACCAAAAUAGCGCCCUGCUUUUGACCAUGGCCCUUUAGACCGAUGUCUAACGUAGUACAGUAUAUAGGGAAAAGAGUGCUCUUUGGAACACUAAUUAUGAAACAACACUAACACAGGGCAACAUAACCCAGAGUAGCUGCCGCCACCUUGUGGACAUUAUAUUGCUAUCGCGCACGCACGCACAUACACACUUUCUACAACUGAACCUGAGCGUCAAACCAGCCAAGGCAAGUUGGCAUCAUAUACAACAACUACUCUCAGUCUUUAAAAAUAUAGCUAUUUAAAAAGCCUGUCUGUCUGCCACUGACUAGAAAGCGGCAGUGCAUCUGUCCAGCCGGCUAGACAGCCCUGAGCUAAGGAUCACCUAUCACAUACAAUCUAUUACAAUAUCAUCUACUAACUGUCACCUGAGACUUGAUCCUACAUUAUUAUUGCUGUUUGGCGCCUGUUCCUUCCUCUGAUAUCAACCAUAUAACAUAGUUAGGUACAGUUAAAUAAAGUUACAUGGCUUACCACAAUCUACAACCAAUGCCUUAUGAACAACCCUGCAGAGAGAUGUGGAACAAACACUAAUGCCUUAAUUAAAAAUCCGACUAAGAUAUUUGAAACAAACACCAAUGCCUUAUGAACACCGCUAAGAGAAGUCAAACAAACACCAAUGUCUUCUCAAUAUCCCUGCUAAGAGAAGUGGAAUAAACACCAAUGCCUUCUCAAUAUCCCUGCUAAGAGAAGUGGAAUAAACACCAAUGCCUUCUCAUUAUCCCUGCUGAGAGAUGUUGAAGAACCAUCAAUGCCUUCUCAACAACCCUGUUAAGAGAUGUGGAACAAAUGGAUCAUAGCUGGGAUACUGCACCUCAGUGGUAACUAUGUUACAGCUUCCUACCUACCUGGCUAGCCAUUACAUCCGGCCUACCUAGCUAAUCAUUACAUCCGGCCUACCUAGCUAAUCAUUAGAUCUGGCCUACCUAGCUAAUCAUUAGAUCUGGCCUACCUAGCUAAUCAUUACAUCCGGCCUACCUAGCUAAUC
ensembl:lncRNA